UACGUAGGCAGCAAGCGUUGUUCGGAGUUACUGGGCGUAAAGGGUGUGUAGGCGGUUGUUUAAGUUUGGUGUGAAAUCUCCCGGCUCAACUGGGAGGGUGCGCCGAAUACUGAAUGACUAGAGUGCGGGAGAGGAAAGUGGAAUUCCUGGUGUAGCGGUGAAAUGCGUAAAUAUCAGGAGGAACACCGGUGGUGUAGACGGCUUUCUGGACCGUAACUGACGCUGAGACACGAAAGCGUGGGUAGCAAACAGG
rnacentral:rRNA from 1 species